UACGUAGGUGGCAAGCGUUGUCCGGAUUUACUGGGCGUAAAGAGCGCGCAGGCGGUCGUUCAAGUCGCGUGUGAAAGCCCCCGGCUCAACUGGGGAGGGUCACGCGAUACUGAUCGACUCGAAGGCAGGAGAGGGUAGUGGAAUUCCCGGUGUAGUGGUGAAAUGCGUAGAGAUUGGGAAGAACACCGGUGGCGAAAGCGCUCUGCUAGGACAAUACUGACACUGAGGGACGAAAGCUAGGGGAGCGAAUGGG
rnacentral:rRNA from 1 species